AAAUUGCUAACUAGAUGUCAUGUUUUAGGAACUAUCCUCUGUUAAUGGCUACAUGGAAGGUUGCCCCUACUCUGGCAGCUGGUUGUGCUGCGAUAUUAAAGGCUUCCGAAUUGGCAUCUGUGACAUGUUUGGAGUUGGCUGACAUAUGCAAAGAAGUGGGCCUUCCUCCGGGUGUACUAAAUAUUCUCUUUAUGUAUAAUAGAUUAGAAAUAAAUCUAGUAACUGAAGAACAAUAAAUAUACGAGAAGCUCGUACACCAUACGUCUAAGAUGAAGCGCAUUGGAAUUGAUACUGAAGCACUCAAAGAGCAUUUUGGGAAGAAAAUUAUGGAGCUUGAGCAGGAAAAAAGAAAACUACAGGUUUGGACAUAGUUAGGUUUAAAUACUUUUUAGAUAGCACACAAACGAAAAGUUUUUUCUAGUUUGGUUUAUUUUUUGUCUACAUUUUUUGUGUAACUUGUUUUCAAAAUUUUGUAAAAAGGAAGUUGUGAAAAUAAGAAAUGAAGACAGUAAACAGUAUUUUUCUUAUGUUUAUGUUUUUCUUUUCACAAUUAUGAAAAUAGAAAACAUAAGAAUGAAAACAAGGAAUCAAAAUACUAUUUAUAGAAAUCUCAAGAUGUUCAUGGCCAAAAAUUGAAAGCACUAGAAGCACAGAUUUUAGACCUCAAGAAGAAACAAGAAAACCAGGUGCAGCUACUAAAGCAAAAGGAGAAGAGCGAAGAAACUAUAAAAAAAUUGCAAGCUGAAAUACAGUACAUCAAGGCUCAAAAGGCACUUGUGUUUUAUUUUUCGAGCUACUUAAUUAUUGAAAUUUUUACUUUGUAUCUGAUAUUGGAUUUAUGAAAACUGUAGGUCCAAUUGCAGUAUAAAAUGAAGCAAGAGGCAGAACAAUUUCGACAAUGGAAGGCUUCUCGAGAAAAGGAGUUACUUCAGCUGAAAAGAUUUGCUUGGAGAGAACUGCAAAUAGCUACAGACAACUUUAGUGAGAGAAAUGUUUUAGGACAGGGAGGCCUUCGGAAGGUUUAUAAAGGUGUUCUACCCGAUGGCACAAAAAUUGCUGUUAAAAGGUUAACCGAUUAUGAAAGUCUCGGUGGAGAUGCUGU